AUUGAACGCUGGCGGCAGGCCUAACACAUGCAAGUCGAACGAGUGGCGGACGGGUGAGUAAUGUCUGGGAAACUGCCUGAUGGAGGGGGAUAACUACUGGAAACGGUAGCUAAUACCGCAUACUAUGAGAUGGGCCCAUAUGGGAUUAGCUUGGUGGUGGGGUAACGGCUCACCAAGGCGACGAUCCCUAGCUGGUCUGAGAGGAUUACCAGCCACACUGGAAAUGAGAAACGGUCCAGACUCCUACGGGAGGCAGCAGUGGGGAAUAUUGGACAAUGGGCGAAAGCCUGAUCCAGCCAUGCCGCGUGUGUGAAGAAGGUCUUCGGGUUGUAAAGCACUUUAAGUUGGGAGGCGUUACCAGCAGAAUAAGCACCGGCUAACUUCGUGCCAGCAGCCGCGGUAAUAC
rnacentral:rRNA from 1 species